GAUGAACGCUGGCGGCGUGCCUAAUACAUGCAAGUCGAGCGAACAGACGAGGAGCUUGCUCCUUUGACGUUAGCGGCGGACGGGUGAGUAACACGUGGGUAACCUACCUAUAAGACUGGGAUAACUUCGGGAAACCGGAGCUAAUACCGGAUAAUAUUUCGAACCGCAUGGUUCGAUAGUGAAAGAUGGCUUUGCUAUCACUUAUAGAUGGACCUGCGCCGUAUUAGCUAGUUGGUAAGGUAACGGCUUACCAAGGCAACGAUACGUAGCCGACCUGAGAGGGUGAUCGGCCACACUGGAACUGAGACACGGUCCAGACUCCUACGGGAGGCAGCAGUAGGGAAUCUUCCGCAAUGGGCGAAAGCCUGACGUAGCAACGCCGCGUGAGUGAUGAAGGUCUUCGGAUCGUAAAACUCUGUUAUUAGGGAAGAAUAAACGUGUAAGUAACUGUGCACGUCUUGACGGUACCUAAUCAGAAAGCCACGGCUAACUACGUG
rnacentral:rRNA from 1 species